rnacentral:rRNA from 1 species
GACUCUCGGCAACGGAUAUCUCGGCUCUCGCAUCGAUGAAGAACGUAGCGAAAUGCGAUACUUGGUGUGAAUUGCAGAAUCCCGUGAACCAUCGAGUCUUUGAACGCAAGUUGCGCCCGAAGCCACCAGGUUGAGGGCACGUC